rnacentral:rRNA from 1 species
UACGUAGGGUGCGAGCGUUGUCCGGAAUUAUUGGGCGUAAAGAGCUUGUAGGCGGUUUGUCGCGUCUGCCGUGAAAUUUCGAGGCUCAACCUCGAACUUGCGGUGGGUACGGGCAGACUAGAGUGUGGUAGGGGAGACUGGAAUUCCUGGUGUAGCGGUGAAAUGCGCAGAUAUCAGGAGGAACACCGAUGGCGAAGGCAGCUCUCUGGGUCCCUACCGACGCUGGGGUGCGAAAGCAUGGGGAGCGAACAGG